GCAGCUCUUCCCUCUGCCUGGAAUAUCUUGUAUUUUACUCUGGGAUCAUUAUCAUGAGUUUGAAAGCAUCUUUGGUACAGGAGACUUACUCAGGGACCAAAAAGCAUUUAUUGAAGAUGACACCAUCUUCACAGCAAGAUGGAGCUGGCUUGUAACAAGGUCCCUGUGAGCUGCAGUUCCAGGUAUCAAAAUGAAGACACUUUAGUCCUUGUCUU